rnacentral:rRNA from 1 species
UACGAAGGGGGCUAGCGUUGUUCGGAAUUACUGGGCGUAGAGCGCACGUAGGCGGAUUGUUAAGUUAGGGGUGAAAUCCCAGGGCUCAACCCUGGAACUGCCUUUAAUACUGGCAAUCUCGAGUCCGAGAGAGGUGAGUGGAAUUCCGAGUGUAGAGGUGAAAUUCGUAGAUAUUCGGAGGAACACCAGUGGCGAAGGCGGCUCACUGGCUCGGUACUGACGCUGAGGUGCGAAAGCGUGGGGAGCGAACAGG